GACGUAGGGCGCGAGCGUUGUCCGGAUUUAUUGGGCGUAAAGAGCUCGUAGGCGGUCUGUCGCGUCGGCUGUGAAAACUCGGGGCUCAACCCCGAGCCUGCAGUCGAUACGGGCAGACUCGAGUGCUGUAGGGGAGACUGGAAUUCCUGGUGUAGCGGUGGAAAUGCGCAGAUAAUCAGGAGGAACACCGGUGGCGAAGGCGG
rnacentral:rRNA from 1 species